CGUUGUUGGGUAGGGGAGCGUUCUGUAAGCCUGUGAAGGUGUGCUGUGAGGCAUGCUGGAGGUAUCAGAAGUGCGAAUGCUGACAUAAGUAACGAUAAAGCGGGUGAAAAGCCCGCUCGCCGGAAGACCAAGGGUUCCUGUCCAACGUUAAUCGGGGCAGGGUGAGUCGACCCCUAAGGCGAGGCCGAAAGGCGUAGUCGAUGGGAAACAGGUUAAUAUUCCUGUACUUGGUGUUACUGCGAAGGGGGGACGGAGAAGGCUAUGUUGGCCGGGCGACGGUUGUCCCGGUUUAAGCGUGUAGGCUGGUUUUCCAGGCAAAUCCGGAAAACUAAGGCUGAGGCGUGAUGACGAGGCACUACGGUGCUGAAGCAACAAAUGCCCUGCUUCCAGGAAAAGCCUCUAAGCAUCAGGUAACAUCAAAUCGUACCCCAAACCGACACAGGUGGUCAGGUAGAGAAUACCAAGGCGCUUGAGAGAACUCGGGUGAAGGAACUAGGCAAAAUGGUGCCGUAACUUCGGGAGAAGGCACGCUGAUAUGUAGGUGAAGUCCCUCGCGGAUGGAGCUGAAAUCAGUCGAAGAUACCAGCUGGCUGCAACUGUUUAUUAAAAACACAGCACUGUGCAAACACGAAAGUGGACGUAUACGGUGUGACGCCUGCCCGGUGCCGGAAGGUUAAUUGAUGGGGUCAGCGCAAGCGAAGCUCUUGAUCGAAGCCCCGGUAAACGGCGGCCGUAACUAUAACGGUCCUAAGGUAGCGAAAUUCCUUGUCGGGUAAGUUCCGACCUGCACGAAUGGCGUAAUGAUGGCCAGGCUGUCUCCACCCGAGACUCAGUGAAAUUGAACUCGCUGUGAAGAUGCAGUGUACCCGCGGCAAGACGGAAAGACCCCGUGAACCUUUACUAUAGCUUGACACUGAACAUUGAGCCUUGAUGUGUAGGAUAGGUGGGAGGCUUUGAAGUGUGGACGCCAGUCUGCAUGGAGCCGACCUUGAAAUACCACCCUUUAAUGUUUGAUGUUCUAACGUUGACCCGUAAUCCGGGUUGCGGACAGUGUCUGGUGGGUAGUUUGACUGGGGCGGUCUCCUCCUAAAGAGUAACGGAGGAGCACGAAGGUUGGCUAAUCCUGGUCGGACAUCAGGAGGUUAGUGCAAUGGCAUAAGCCAGCUUGACUGCGAGCGUGACGGCGCGAGCAGGUGCGAAAGCAGGUCAUAGUGAUCCGGUGGUUCUGAAUGGAAGGGCCAUCGCUCAACGGAUAAAAGGUACUCCGGGGAUAACAGGCUGAUACCGCCCAAGAGUUCAUAUCGACGGCGGUGUUUGGCACCUCGAUGUCGGCUCAUCACAUCCUGGGGCUGAAGUAGGUCCCAAGGGUAUGGCUGUUCGCCAUUUAAAGUGGUACGCGAGCUGGGUUUAGAACGUCGUGAGACAGUUCGGUCCCUAUCUGCCGUGGGCGCUGGAGAACUGAGGGGGGCUGCUCCUAGUACGAGAGGACCGGAGUGGACGCAUCACUGGUGUUCGGGUUGUCAUGCCAAUGGCACUGCCCGGUAGCUAAAUGCGGAAGAGAUAAGUGCUGAAAGCAUCUAAGCACGAAACUUGCCCCGAGAUGAGUUCUCCCUGACUCCUUGAGAGUCCUGAAGGAACGUUGAAG
rnacentral:rRNA from 1 species